rnacentral:rRNA from 1 species
AUUGAACGCUGGCGGCAGGCCUAACACAUGCAAGUCGAACGGUAACAGGAAACAGCUUGCUGUUUCGCUGACGAGUGGCGGACGGGUGAGUAAUGUCUGGGAAACUGCCUGAUGGAGGGGGAUAACUACUGGAAACGGUAGCUAAUACCGCAUAACGUCGCAAGACCAGAGAGGGGGACCUGCGGGCCUCUUGCCAUCGGAUGUGCCCAGAUGGGAUUAGCUAGUAGGUGGGGGAACGGCUCACCUAGGCGACGAUCCCUAGCUGGUCUGAGAGGAUGACCAGCCACACUGGAACUGAGACACGGUCCAGACUCCUACGGGAGGCAGCAGUGGGGAAUAUUGCACAAUGGGCGCAAGCCUGAUGCAGCCAUGCCGCGUGUAUGAAGAAGGCCUUCGGGUUGUAAAGUACUUUCAGCGGGGAGGAAGGGAGUAAAGUUAAUACCUUUGCUCAUUGACGUUACCCGCAGAAGAAGCACCGGCUAACUCCGUGCCAGCAGCCGCAGUAA